rnacentral:rRNA from 1 species
CCUACGGGAGACAGCAGUGGGGAAUAUUGGGCAAUGGGCGCAAGCCUGAUCCAGCAACGCCGCGUGAAGGAAGAAGGCUUUCGGGUUGUAAACUUCUUUUCUCAGGGACGAAGCAAGUGGCGGUACCUGAGGAAUAAGCCACGGCUAACUACGUGCCAGCAGCCGCGGUAAUACGUAGGUGGCAAGCGUUAUCCGGAUUUACUGGGUGUAAAGGGCGUGUAGGCGGGAAAGCAAGUCAGAUGUGAAAACCAUGGGCUCAACCGGGGGCCUGCCUUUGAAACUGUUUUUCUUGAGUACAGGAGAGGCAGGCGGAAUUCCUAGUGUAGCGGUGAAAUGCGUAGAUAUUAGGAGGAACACCAGUGGCGAAGGCGGUCUGCUGGACAGCAACUGACGCUGAGGCGCGAAAGCGUGGGGAGCAAACAGGAUUAGAUACCCUAGUAGUC